rnacentral:snRNA from 1 species
AUACUUACCUGGCAGGGGAGAUACCAUGAUCACAAAGGUGGUUUUCCCAGGGCAAGGCUUAUCCAUUACACUCCGGAUGUGCUGACCCCUGCGAUUUCCCCAAAUGUGGGAAACUCAACUGCAUAAUUUGUGGUAGUGGGGGACUGCAUUCACGCUCUCCCCUU